UACAGAGGGUGCAAGCGUUAAUCGGAGUUACUGGGCGUAAAGGGCGCGUAGGCGGUUGGAUGUGUGAGAUGUGAAAUCCCUGGGCUUAACCUAGGAACUGCAUCUUAAACUGUUUAACUAGAGUACUGUAGAGGGUAGUGGAAUUUCCGGUGUAGCGGUGAAAUGCGUAGAGAUCGGAAGGAACACCAGUGGCGAAGGCGGCUACCUGGACAGAUACUGACGCUGAGGCGCGAGAGCGUGGGGAGCAAACAGG
rnacentral:rRNA from 1 species